CUCUAAGAGCAACUCCUCUCCUUCUCUUUCUCUUUCUCUUAGCGGUGAUCACACUCCUAGUCCUAGUCUUCUCAGAAGCCGACUUUCAGUGCCACCAAACCCUCUGUCAACAUGCUUCGAUCCUAGUCUCCUCGGGAGCCGACGGUAGUGCCGCGACCACAACGGUUACAGAACCAGCCAAGCAAGGGUAACGCCCUAGCAACCCAGCCAAGCUAAAGUCACGCUUUAGCAAGUUCUCCUCACUUCCCGGUGGUUCUCGCUCUGCUCGAUCUACAACAUCGAGUAUCGAUUGUGAUUUUCAAGAAGCUCAGCAAAAGUCCUCGCCACGAGGCACAAAGAAUCCCACGACGAGGUUGGUGCUCUCCUCGUCCACAAUUGCUUGAAAAGAAGUCAGGUCAAGGGACAUCCCCGACGACCGCACCCGAACGGUGCUGGCACGCCCGCGCAAGAAAAGAGACUGUUGACCAGCUGCAACAAAAUUGGAGCCAAACACCUGUAAUGCCCACGAUUUAUUAAAACUCCACAAAUAUAUAAAUACCGUCCAAAGGAUAUGAUGGUAAUCUUGACAAUAAAAGCCAAACAAAAAUUACGGGAAGGCAGAGAACAGAAGAAAAACAAAAAAUUUCCCGAGAAUUCGGCGGAGAGAGAGAGAGAAAAAAAAAAAAAAAAGGCGCAAUCGCACACGAUCUCCAGACCAGAGAAGAACUGCCGGGCCACGAUCUCAACACAGACGGAUGCUCAAGACGACGUGGGAGAAAAUCGGUGUACAAAUGGAUGCAUCAGGACUCAUCCUUCUUCCAAUUUACAGUUCAUACGAAAAUAGAAAACAGAGAAAGAAAGAAGAGCAGAGCAGAAUCAAACCCAGAAGGAAGAGAAAGAGAAAGAAACAAAUAAGAGAAAAUUAUUAUCAACUCGGCUGACAGUGUUGCAGAUUCACUUGAAGUCAGACUUGAUAUUGUUAUUGGUUUUCACUUAUUUAAGCAAACGGAGAAAGCCAGAUAACCAACGUGGAAUAAAGAAACGAGGAAAAGAGGAAAUCAAAACCUGUUCUCUUUGAAGAUUUUGCAGUUCUGGCAUUUGCAGGGGUCCAUUCAGAUGCAGUUGUCAUGACCGAAACAGAAAGAGGAAGACUUUGAGAAAUACAAAGGUCUGGAAGAUUUGGAAUUUAUAUAAGGGGUUCAAACCAAGUGAGUCUUCUCUGACCUGUAUCUUUGGUUUAAUUUGGUUUGUUCGAUAAGUUGCCAGAAUUGAUGCAGAGACAAUGAGUUUGGGUACAAGUACAAUGGCCAGCAGUGACUAAAUUGUGUGUUGCAACUUGCAAGGUAUGCUAAUCAAUUUUCAAGUAACCUAAUAGUUGCUUGGGGAAGAGGGAGAGGGAGAGGGAGAGGGAGAGAUUUGGCUGGAUAUAUGUUGUAGAUGUUUUUGUAUUUCCACCUUUUGAUUGUUAGUUCUGUUGCCAUAACUGAUAAAUUUAUCCUGGGAUGAGUUUAUCCAAACCAUGAGUAGUAUCCAAAACUUUGCAAGUUAUAGUUGCAAUCAGUCAUGUUUAUGAUUUAAAUAUCUUUUCAGAGAUUAUGGAUAGUCAGUGUUGGAUUGCAGGGAUACUUUGACUGGCUGUUGAUAUCAUAAUCUUGGUGGAAGCUUGAAGCCUUGAAGUGACUUCAAGAAACAUGUAUUCACAUAAAUGGCAAGCUAUAGCAUGCAUGUUGCUACAAUUAUUCCAUAGCAGGAAGGCUGAUGGGGAAUUGUAGUGAAAUGAAGGACAUGAUUUUGGUAGUGCAUGAAAUCAAAAAACCACAGGACCGCUUUUUUGUGGCCACAUUUAAAUUUUUUUUAUUUACAAGUUUGAGAGUUGAAUACAUCUGUUUCAAGUUGUAAAUUUGUAGAAUUUGGUAAAGAAAGAUGACGAGGAAGAGAGAAGUAUGUUUAAACAGACGCCAUAAUGCUUUUUUUUGACCAACUCUUCUAUGUGAAUGUUCCUAACUAGGAAAAAGAUUUAGAAA